CUAAGGCCCACUUGGCUUUGCAUUCCAGGAUGUCUGGCUCUAGGGGGAAGAGCAGAGAAGACUGAGCUCUGGGAGUCAAGUGGCAGACAGCUGUGGUUUCGGCUUCCAGCGGUCACACAACUCCAGAGGGACCGGAAGGUCAAGGAAAGCAUGCAGAACCGCAGGCUGUUCACGUGGCUCUGAGGAGGAGAUGACCAACCCCUAAUAAAACACCGUCUGCCGGACGUGCCAUUGGGACUGGCAUGCUAAUUGAAAACAGCAGGCUUGGGGCUGCCUCUCUGACUUUAGCACUCCAGCUAGGAAGAACUUUUCCUUCCACAGAAAAAGCAGUAUUCGCUUCUCCCCGAAUAUUUGAAUGAAGAUAUUGGAUAAACUGCAAAGUCUCUGUGUGCUGAACAUGGGAUCAUCAAACAGUUUUGUCAGCUUGCCAGACAGCCAAAGAGAAGCAAACUGCAAUUGAAGGAGAAAUAUUCUGCUGGCCAAAUGGAAAGAUGAGUACAUUUGGAUUACACAUUCCAGUCCCAAAGACUAAGCCCAGAUAUAUGUAUGUAUGUACCGUCAGAUAUCAUUAAUAAAUUAUUUAUAAAUAUGCUAGAGAAUGUUUUUCUUAACAUUCUUCCUCUGGAAUAGACUAUGUUAACAUACUAGAUAUUCCAUUCUCUUAAAUCUCUUUUUUGUUCUAUCUCUAU